GCCCCCGGCGGAAAUGGCCGAGCGCGUUCGGGCCAGGCGCGUGAAGCGAGGCGGGGGCGGAGCCUCGGGAUGGCCGAGCAUUUCCGGAAAGAGCCGAACAUCCUCCCGCGGGACUGGCGGGCAGAGGGUGCCACGAGAUAGCCGAGCAUUUCCGGAAACAGCCGAGCGCAAUCGCGUCAGCUAAGCGUUUCCCUAAGCUCGGCGGGGCCCGGCUGGGCUUCGAGAUGACCGAGUGAUUCCGGAAAUCGCCGAGCGUCUCCCCCCAGCGGGACUGAUGGAACCGAGGCUGAGCCCCGAGACUGCAGUUUCUGCAAAGAACCGCGUGUGCUCGGACCCAGAGGGAGGCCCUGUGAAUCGAGAGCCAGGGAUGGACCACCAGUUUCCGGAACUGAUGGAUGGGUCCUAAGGGCGCGAGGCGGCCCGAGCUCAGGGCGCAGGAGGCGGUGGGGUGGGAAGGGAGCUCGCCGCAGAAAUCUGAGCUUUUCAGGAAAGAUCCAAAUAAGCUGGGAUUGAAAGCGUUUCCAUGGCAGCCCAGAGCGUCCGGAAACAGCUGAACUAUUUGCAGCGCAGCGAGCGCGGGAACACGCCCAACGAGGACCCAGAGACGGACGAUUGUUUCCGGAAUAGCCGAAGACACUCGGAAGCGUGGCCCGGGGCUUCUGGUACUGCCCAGAAGUAACCCCAAAACACGGAGUUGGGCUCGGGGCCCCAGAUCGGUGUCCGGAUGAAGCUUUUAAGAGCAGAGCCUAUGAUGGGUACUCGGGGAGAGGGCAGGAGGAGGCCAGGGACCCGAGAAGACAUCAGGGAGAAUCUCAUUGGCGAACUCCUGCGCCACCUUCAAAACCCCUUCAAAGGAAGUCAGUUUUCACCCCGUCCCCACCACACUCUCUCCCCUUACCCCUUUCUUUGCCCCUCACAAAUCCAGACGUUGGGCCUCCUCUUUGUAAACGUGGGCUUUUAUUCACGGUCAGCUCCAGGAUGGAAGGGGGGUGGGGGGCACAAGUCAUGCACAGCCUUGGUCUAGCUCCAGCACCAGCCAGUGCUGGGCGAGGGUCUCUGGGAGGGAUGCAGAGUGGGCUACCGUGCCUGGAAAGUGCCCUCAUCAGGUGGGGCGCAGGGAUCUGGCCGGCCACCUCCACAGAGGAAGUGGCGGUUCUGAGACGCCCAGUGUGUGUCACACAGCAGCCUGGGGAAGAGAGCUGGAGGUGGAUCUGCUGUAUCCGACACCAGACUCUCCGUUCAAGCUCCCUUGUCGACAGUGCCCACGACGGGGCCUGGCUGCGUUUUUUUUUUACCAGGUGAUCGUGCGACACGUCUCCACCCCUCGCCAGGCCUCGGUUACUUGUCCGUAAAAUGGGGAGGACACCGCCACCUGCAGCCUUCUCAAGGCUGGCUGGGGGAGAAGCCACGAGUAAAAGCGUCUGGCAUAGGGCGGAUGCUUAAUAAAUAGUCAUUGGGAUUAGUUUUGUAAACACGAGGAAACUGAGGCACAGAGUGGGAAAGCCAUUUUCCCAGAGCCACACGAGGAAGCCAAGAUUCAAACUUGGGCCCCAUUGCCCCCCAGCUGGGUUUCUCACUCGAAUUUCAUUCUAGGAAGGCUGCGAUACGUUGCGGGAACCCUCCGUAGGGUGUUUCAGACACAUCAUGGUCAAGGGCUCACCCUGGUGGGCACUGAGCACGUGAAAUCUUGUCCAGGCUGGACGUUCUUCCCCUGCCCUGGCAGUAGUACCCUUCGAGGCCUGCGCCUCCCCCCCCGCCCAGGGCAUCAGUGUCCCCCUGUGGAGUGGGUGACCUCUCUGCUCCUCCAUCAAGGUCCCAGGUCCCACACCCCCUCCCCCGGGCUGAAGCCUUCAGGACUAGAAACAAACUCUAGCGAGACUGGCCUAGGGAUAGAGGCUAUGACAGUGAGACGUAGCUUUCAGCGUCCAGUCCCUCAUCGGGAUUGCUUUGUUUUGUGGUGGAGGGGAAUCAUUUACAGACUCUCCAAGUCCUAUCCGCAUUGGGCCCAGACAGGUAAGCUUGCCUGUAUCCCCUCAGGUCAGUGGGUCCUGGGCCAGGAUGGGAUCAAGGAACACGCACACACAAAACUAAAACA